rnacentral:rRNA from 1 species
UACGUAGGGGGCAAGCGUUGUCCGGAAUCAUUGGGCGUAAAGCGCGUGUAGGCGGCUUGGCAAGUGGAUGGUGAAAUCCCUCGGCUUAACCGAGGAACUGCCGUCCAAACUGCUUCGCUUGAGACCGGGAGAGGUGAGUGGAAUUCCCAGUGUAGCGGUGAAAUGCGUAGAUAUUGGGAGGAACACCAGUGGCGAAGGCGGCUCACUGGACCGGUACUGACGCUGAUGCGCGAAAGCGUGGGGAGCAAACGGG